AUAUAUAUAUAUAUAUAUAUAUAUUGUGUACUAUAUACAAACUAGCAAUGACUUAUACUUCAAGUAAAGAAAUGCUUUAAAAAUCCAAUCCAUAAUUUUGACUGACAACUAAGCUAAGAACAACUGAUUUUUCUCUUAAUAACAGUUUUCUUCAAAGGAGAAUUAUGAGUCAAUUGACUCAGUGUUAUUGCCUCAACACAUCAAACAACAACAACAGAACAUUUGGUCAAGAAAUGAAAUCAGUGAAGAAUGAACCACUCAAAUACUUCAAAUAGUACUAAAAUAAGUAACACAUUCACUCAAAACUUAGGAAAUAUUUCUUUUCAAGAAAAACAAAAUGGUGUAAAUGACACAACCUAGCCCAUAUCAAACUGCCAAUCAAAUAUACUUCACAUCAAUGAUUUGACAUUGUAAAACUGUAAGCUCAGAGCAUGUAAAGAGUGUACCAAAAAAUUCAAAAGCCAAGAUACACCUGAUAUCUAUGUUUUUCAUUGACAUUUUUCACUCCCAAUACAUUUUUUGAGACAGUCCAAGUCCAAUUCAAACAACUAUAAAUACUAUAAGCGGUCUUUCAGUAAUAAUGUGUAGAAGGAUAAAUAUGGUUAUCUUUUUCCCUCAAUAAAAUCUACCUGUUGAUUUUAGGGAUUUUUGAAGACAAGUCUUAAGAUGAACAUCAAACAAAUGAAUGACACUAUAAUUGUGACACGCUGAUGGAGACUUUUGUUAAAUAAACUGCUAGAAACUAGCACUAAAAAUUAAAAAGAAAAAAAAAAACAAGCUAACAUAACAGUUACAACAGCAAGAACAAGCAGAAACAGGACCAAAUGUUAUCAACUGGAAAAUAUCACAGGGUUAUACAACACUGGCUGUAAAAUAUCUAGACAUGAAUUUUUCUUAAUAAAAUGGACUGGACAUCAUAAGCUAAAAGGCCGUCUGUAAUCAGAAUAAAGAAUAAAUACAAAGUGAAAUAAAUGUUAUGUUUUUAGAUAUAUAAGACUGUUCUUCUAAGCAAUUAAAUAAUUAAUUAGCAUAGAAUUGGUUCAAAAAUUGUAUAAAAGGAUCUAAGUUUAAUUGCCCAUACUGGAUCAGCAAUGGAAAAAUAAGUGACAAUGUUGUUCCCCCAUUUCGUUUAUAGAGGAGAUGAUGUCAAGGUCAUCUGUUUCUGUGGCGUAAAGUGUUAUUUUUAAUUUGAUUUUAAUAAAUGCAUUAAGUUAGAUCCCAAAAAAAAUGUAAACCUUAUCCAACUUCUGCUGUUUUUAACAAUUCUGUAAGGUUUAAUAUCCUUUUAUAUUUAAACCAUUCUAUUGGUUCACUAGUAUAAAGUAUCUUUAACAAAGCCUACAGGAGAAAAAUAAUUUCACAAAACAAUCUUACAUGAUUUGAUUAGAGCAACUUAUUACUAAUGAUUAAUUAUUAAUGAAUCAAUAACCUUGCUUUUAAGUCAUCUUGAUCUAAACACACACACAGAUAUUUUUAUUUGGCUAAAAAUACAAAAAAAAAGCAGUGGAGUAUUGUUAUAAAGCUAAACAGAAAAAAAAAUGAGCUCACAAUUUACAAAAAGCAACAAAGGAAAAAGUUUUAAUUUAAUAAAUUCUGAAAUGUAACUAUCUUACAAAGAUUUCAAAGGUCAGAGUAGAAGAAAGUUUAUUAGUAAAUGAUAAUAUAUAUAUAUAAAAUGAGCAAGUAAAACAAUAGUACCCCAGUUUAAGAAAGAAUUUGAUUUAAAUACAAAUACCAAUGGACAAUUAAUAACUGAAGAUGUAAAGAUUAUGACUGGAUUCAUAGUUUUAAAAAAAAUGCACCAAAAAAAAAAAAAAA